rfam:Zea mays cultivar B73 chromosome 1, whole genome shotgun sequence.
CCAAUUAAACAUGAGGAAUUGGUGUCAUAUAUCCUAGCGGGAUUGGGUAUUGAUUUUAACCCCGUCGCGACUGUCGUGGCCACUUAGAUUGAACCAAUUUCAGUUGGCGAAUUAUUCUCGCAAUUGCUGAGUUUUGAGG